rnacentral:rRNA from 1 species
UAGGGAAUCUUCCGCAAUGGACGCAAGUCUGACGGAGCAACGCCGCGUGAGUGAAGAAGGAUUUCGGUUCGUAAAACUCUGUUGUUAGAGAAGAACAGCGCAUAGAGUAACUGUUAUGCGUGUGACGGUAUCUAACCAGAAAGCCACGGCUAACUACGUGCCAGCAGCCGCGGUAAUACGUAGGUGGUAAGCGUUGUCCGGAUUUAUUGGGCGUAAAGCGAGCGCAGGCGGUCAAUUAAGUCUGAUGUGAAAGCCCCCGGCUCAACCGGGGAGGGUCAUUGGAAACUGGUUGACUUGAGUGCAGAAGAGGAGAGUGGAAUUCCAUGUGUAGCGGUGAAAUGCGUAGAUAUAUGGAGGAACACCAGUGGCGAAGGCGACUCUCUGGUCUGUAACUGACGCUGAGGCUCGAAAGCGUGGGUAGCAAACAGG